CAUCACACAGAGAAGAUUCUGGGUGGUGGAGACAAGAUGUCACAAUUUAUUUGCUUUCUUCUUUGAAUGCUGAAUUCUCUGGCUGUCUCCUUCAUGGAGCUUUGCGACAUUAGGGAAGAGCGGAGUGGGGAUCUUUCAUAGAGGGCACGUGACAGCCCAGACCUCAGUCCCACCAUUCCUUGCGCACAGAUGAAAACAUGGGAGAGAAGCUCGGCUCACCAUGAUCAGAGGCUUGUAGCAUACAAGAAUAUUUGCUUAGCAACUCAAGCACACUCCCACAGAACUGAAGACAUACCUUUUUUGGAGACCUACCUGCAAUGCUCAGACUCCACACGGAGAUAUUCUCAUUUAUAGGCCUGGCAUGACUGGCUACACCAAACUAGUUAUCUAUUAUUUGCUGGCAGCUGAUAAACCCA
rnacentral:lncRNA from 1 species